GGAGGGACAAUGGUACCACAGCCGCCUGUCCAUGCAAAGCAUGUGAUGAGAGAGACUGUAUAAAAGGGCCACUGGCCGACAAAAAAACUACCCAAUUUGGACCGACCCUAUAACACCUACUAUAACCAACCACGGAGCCAAGAUGAGUCGAGGUGCCCAUAUUCCUCUUUCUGGCCGCAACAGGAUUCCAUACUGCUCUCGCUGCAUCCCUGGAAUCAGCAGAAAAAAAGGACACAUUUGCAGAGGAUGUGGGGCUGGAGCAGCUAAGUGACCUGCAAAGGAGAGAUCCUGAGGAGUUCGAAGCAGCGCAAAUGAAUGAGGAUGCACAUAGUGCAGAUGUGUGCUACUUGGAGCCUGUUCAAGAUGAAAAUACUGAGCAGAAUUCCACUCAGGAGGAGGACAUGGCAGACAGAGACAGAAACGUUGAUGCAGACCAUGAGGAGUCCGAGUCUGAUGAGGAUGUAGAUGCUGAGGUGGAGUGAGCCUGCAGGAGGCCUAGCCUGCAGACCCAUUACAGAACCCGAGGAACACUGCAGCGGAAGUUUACUGUCAAUAAAGAGAAACAUCUUAACAUUC